rnacentral:lncRNA from 1 species
UUUUUUAUUUCGCAUAAAUUCUUUUAUUCACAUUUAUAUACAAAAUAUUAUUAAGAGUUAUGUGAUCGCACUACGUAUUUUAAGAAAUAGCUAGGAUUCUCAUUAAUCCUUUCAUAAAUUCCUUCCUAAUUGGAUAGAUCCAUAAAGUAAAUGAAGGUACUUAAAAUAAAAUAGAUAAACACAAAAGUAUACUAGAUCACAAAAUAUUGUUGCUACAUUUAGUUCUCCCCUCUAGAAUAAGAAUGGUUCAUACUAGUCCUCUUGAAUUUUGAUGAUAAUAAAGUAUUGAAGAACAAUUGGAAUACUAACAAAUGUUCAAGUGUGCAUAAUCUACCUAUCAUUAAGAAAGAACAUGUGAAAAGCAUCAGAAAGGGAUUGGGAACCUUAGAAGACUAUUGGUGGAAGAUCUACUGGAAGGUCAACCACAUAACCUGAUUGACUACUUGGAUUAGAGGAACCUAGAAUCCACACAAAAGCAUUAGGAACGAAGAGAGCAACAAAUACUUUGUUCAGCAAAGGAAAUUCAAAGGACUUUCCAACAGAAUUAUACAUAUCAGGCAAAGGGCCAAUGUUCUUGAUCAAAGCUUCUCAACGACUAUAUUUGCGCCGACACUCUUCUCCAAAGUCUCUCAAAUCACUGCAUAUAAAAGGAGCUGAAAACUUGAAGAAUAAGUGAUAAACACUCCACUAUUUUUCUGUGCCAAAACUCUGUCAUAUCAAAUAGCGCAAAACACUUAGGAUUAUUUUUCAAGUUUUAUAUCUUAAAAAUCCUAAGGAGUGAGUUUUUUCAUUUGUUCAGUUUACAUUAUCAUUGUUAAAUAUAAUGUUUAUGCUUUUAUAUUUUAAUCAUGUUGUGAUAUACUGC